UCUCUUGUUAAUAUCCAUGUCUAAUCUCCUCUCAGAGGGGCCCUUUGUCCUAGACUGUAGCCAAGAUGAGUAAUUCAGGGAUAGAUGAGACGCUAUAAUUGGUUUGUGACAAAUUAAAACAUUUUUCCUUCGGAGCUGAGAGCAGGACUGUGGUCUGGAGCUGUCAAGCGUCACAGGGGAGGGCGAUUUUUGGAGUAAGCGCAUUGCAAAUUGGCUCCAGAUACGCCUUGGAGUCUGAAAUUAAACUCCAGCUGGUGACUCUUCUCAGCUGGGGUUUUAUUUUAGGGGGGGACAAAGGGAACAUGUGCAGGGAGGGACAGCCUGAUCGAUAGAGAGAACGUGACUUUUUUUUGCAUCGUGCAGUGAGCUGGGGACUGGAGUGAGCCGUGGUGGGGAUGCUGGGGAGCACCCAGAAGCACGAUGAGAGUGAGCGAGCCAGGAGCUGGAGCCCACCAUUGCCUACCUUUCCUCCAUGCUGCUAUCAAUGGUUCCUCCAUCGCAUCCCAGCAAGGAAGGACCAUGAUGGAAAGUUGCAGCUCACACCAUCUCUUCCCUUGGUCGUGAGCGAGUGCCAGGGUUCCUGUUGUAGGGAUUGCACCAAGGUGACAAACUAGAGAGGUUUGAAAAAUGGAAACACAAUCCCCUGACUCCAGGAGCUCAGACUUAAAUAUCAACAAAUACCUCAGGAUGCACUCGUGAGUGCUGAUGGAGCAGCUGACUCGGUGAGCAUGGAGGUGAACAACUCCAGAGCCCCGCAGAGCCCCGCAGUCCUGAUUUGCUGAACCCAGCGGAAUAAAUUCCUGUGUAGGAUGAUCCAUGUGCAUGGGCCCCCGCACGAUCAGGGCCAAUGUUUGCGAAGUGCUGUGAGAUGCUUGGAUGAAAGGGACUACAGAAGCGCAAAGUAUUACUUUUUCAUGAUUACUGCAAUUGCUAUCCUUGGGGCUGUCCAAAUGUUGUUGUUCCAAGUGAAAAUAUAAAACCCUUUUGGCAUGUUUCUUUUUUGCGUUGUGAUAAAUAGAAAUGCAGGAGGAAAAAAAAAUCCCCUCCUAACAGUGAGAGAAG
rnacentral:lncRNA from 1 species